rnacentral:rRNA from 1 species
UACGGGAGGCAGCAGUGAGGAAUAUUGGNCAAUGGGCGCGAGCCUGAACCAGCCAAGUAGCGUGCAGGACGACGGCCCUAUGGGUUGUAAACUGCUUUUAUGCGGGGAUAAAGUGCGGCACGUGUGCCGUUUUGUAGGUACCGCAUGAAUAAGGACCGGCUAAUUCCGUGCCAGCAGCCGCGGUAAU